UACGAAGGGGGCUAGCGUUGUUCGGAAUUACUGGGCGUAAAGCGCGCGCAGGCGGCUAUCCAAGUCAGUGGUGAAAGCCCGGAGCUCAACUCCGGAACUGCCAUUGAAACUGUUUAGCUUGAGGACGAGAGAGGUGAGUGGAAUUCCCAGUGUAGAGGUGAAAUUCGUAGAUAUUGGGAAGAACACCGGUGGCGAAGGCGGCUCACUGGGGCUUUUCUGACGCUGAGGAACGAAAGCCAGGGUAGCGAACGGG
rnacentral:rRNA from 1 species